rnacentral:rRNA from 1 species
UAGGGAAUCUUCGGCAAUGGACGAAAGUCUGACCGAGCAACGCCGCGUGAGUGAAGAAGGUUUUCGGAUCGUAAAACUCUGUUGUUAGAGAAGAACAAGGACGUUAGUAACUGAACGUCCCCUGACGGUAUCUAACCAGAAAGCCACGGCUAACUACGUGCCAGCAGCCGCGGUAAUACGUAGGUGGCAAGCGUUGUCCGGAUUUAUUGGGCGUAAAGCGAGCGCAGGCGGUUUCUUAAGUCUGAUGUGAAAGCCCCCGGCUCAACCGGGGAGGGUCAUUGGAAACUGGGAGACUUGAGUGCAGAAGAGGAGAGUGGAAUUCAAUGUGUAGCGGUGAAAUGCGUAGAUAUAUGGAGGAACACCAGGGGCGAAGGCGGCUCUCUGGUCUGUAACUGACGCUGAGGCUCGAAAGCGUGGGGAGCAAACAGG